ensembl:lncRNA
AUCCUGGGGUCUUUGACCCCAACUCCAAGGAAGCAAUACAAGUGAACAUUCAGCUGCAAUCUAUGCAUUUUGUAUUGGCAUCAGCUCAGGAGGACUCCAUGCCACUUUUGAAUAACAACAGCAGAAGCACUGGCAAGUGUGAACUUUCAAAGAAGGUCCAUUCUUUCAGUAAAAUAAAAAUUACUAGUAGCGUACCUGGAGAUGUCAUUUUUGUCAAACCCAUUGUCUGGUUGUGAUGGUUAGAUGCAUCUUUCCUUUGGAUUGCCUAUCACCUUAGCACUGGGAAAUGCACAUUUUUUUCACGUAGCUUUGAAUGCAUUUGUGAACUGCAUCUGCCUUUCCCUGGGUGGGAGGCGGGAGCAUCUCACCAACACAUCACCACACACGCCACUCUUCUGUUUCCUUAGAUAGGUCGGUUGUUCCUGAUAGAAAUUUCCUUCCCUGCAUUUUAUAAUGUCUUCAUUCCUCUUCCAAGACUCCAGCUGCUGAGACUAUUCAUCUUUCCAGCUAGAACCAAUGGAUGCCUUUCCAAUGGUGUUCUGCAUAUCCCCUCCGUCUUUUUCAAUGUUUGUAUUCUGCACAAGUCUUGGCAACUACUACUGGAAUGUCAGAGAUGAGGAAUCUAAAGAUGCUGCAGUUCUGUUGGAGUUCUGCCUCAAGUCACACAGCAGAUGGUCAGGAAAGCCACAGCCUGAAAUUACACGUCUGAACGCAACACGAUUUUGGCUUGUUACUUGAAAACAAACAAACACCACUGGCAGGAGCUUGGAGACCUUUCCAAAGAGGAUCAGUGCAGAGCUCAAACCUUUGCCAACACGGCCUGUCCGGGGAGCUCCAAGGAGUGGGACCCCUUCCCCACGCCACGCACAUAUUGCCAUGUUUGAAAAACUUCUAAAGUCACAGAAUAAGGGACACGGAUGCUUUACAAACAUAACACAGGUGAAAUAUGUGUUAUGUACGUAAGCAUUUAGAAGAAAGAAAUACUGCCUCAACUGAUUUCUGAGCAAAACAAAAUUUCAAAAUGGCAUAACCUGAUAUUGAAUCUCACUUUUUCAGUCUCUUCUGUUUUUUUUUAAUGAAUUAUUUUUUCUUUUAAAAGAUUUAUUCAUUUAUUUAUCUGAAAAGCAAAGUGACAGAGGGAAAGGCAGUGGGGUGGUGGAGAGAGACAGACAGAUAGAGAAACAGACAGACUGACAGACAGACAGAGAGGUCUUCCAUUCCCCAAAUGGCCACAAACGAGGAGCCUGGAACUCCAUCUGAGUCUCCCACACGGGUGCAAGGGCCCAAGCACUUGGGCAAUCCUCCUCGGCUUUCCUAAGUGCAUUAGCAGGGAGUUGGGAUGGAAGGGAGGCAGCCAGGACUCCAAAUGGAGCAUCUGAGACUUGAACACUCACUCAGAUAUGAGAUGCUGGAGAUGCAAGGAGUGGUUUGACCCACUGGGCCACUGCAUUUGCCCCUGUGGUUUUCUGAUCAGAGAAGCAGUUUGGUGCUGUGAGUAAAGGCAGGGGUCAGGAAGAAGAUCCGUUGGGAUCAUGAGGCUAACGCUGACUCUGGUGCCUGGCAGAGGUCAGGGCACACAGACAAUUUCACUCCUGCUCUUGGGGAUUUUACAUUCCAGAAGAGGGAAGAGAAGAGAGGAAAAAAAAGACAGGCAGUUAAAGAAGCUGUUUUCAAAUAAUGUUGAUGACUAGGAAGACCACACAGCAGAGUGGGUGACAGAGAUGACUCGUGGGACAGU